rnacentral:rRNA from 1 species
UAAUUGAAGAGUUUGAUCAUGGCUCAGAUUGAACGCUGGCGGCAGGCCUAACACAUGCAAGUCGAGCGGUAGCACAAGAGAGCUUGCUCUCUGGGUGACGAGCGGCGGACGGGUGAGUAAUGUCUGGGAAACUGCCUGAUGGAGGGGGAUAACUACUGGAAACGGUAGCUAAUACCGCAUAACGUCUUCGGACCAAAGUGGGGGACCUUCGGGCCUCACGCCAUCAGAUGUGCCCAGAUGGGAUUAGCUAGUAGGUGGGGUAAUGGCUCACCUAGGCGACGAUCCCUAGCUGGUCUGAGAGGAUGACCAGCCACACUGGAACUGAGACACGGUCCAGACUCCUACGGGAGGCAGCAGUGGGGAAUAUUGCACAAUGGGCGCAAGCCUGAUGCAGCCAUGCCGCGUGUGUGAAGAAGGCCUUCGGGUUGUAAAGCACUUUCAGCGAGGAGGAAGGGUUCAGUGUUAAUAGCACUGUGCAUUGACGUUACUCGCAGAAGAAGCACCGGCUAACUCCGUGCCAGCAGCCGCGGUAAUACGGAGGGUGCAAGCGUUAAUCGGAAUUACUGGGCGUAAAGCGCACGCAGGCGGUUUGUUAAGUCAGAUGUGAAAUCCCCGCGCUUAACGUGGGAACUGCAUUUGAAACUGGCAAGCUAGAGUCUUGUAGAGGGGGGUAGAAUUCCAGGUGUAGCGGUGAAAUGCGUAGAGAUCUGGAGGAAUACCGGUGGCGAAGGCGGCCCCCUGGACAAAGACUGACGCUCAGGUGCGAAAGCGUGGGGAGCAAACAGGAUUAGAUACCCUGGUAGUCCACGCUGUAAACGAUGUCGACUUGGAGGUUGUGCCCUUGAGGCGUGGCUUCCGGAGCUAACGCGUUAAGUCGACCGCCUGGGGAGUACGGCCGCAAGGUUAAAACUCAAAUGAAUUGACGGGGGCCCGCACAAGCGGUGGAGCAUGUGGUUUAAUUCGAUGCAACGCGAAGAACCUUACCUACUCUUGACAUCCAGAGAAUUCGCUAGAGAUAGCUUAGUGCCUUCGGGAACUCUGAGACAGGUGCUGCAUGGCUGUCGUCAGCUCGUGUUGUGAAAUGUUGGGUUAAGUCCCGCAACGAGCGCAACCCUUAUCCUUUGUUGCCAGCACGUAAUGGUGGGAACUCAAAGGAGACUGCCGGUGAUAAACCGGAGGAAGGUGGGGAUGACGUCAAGUCAUCAUGGCCCUUACGAGUAGGGCUACACACGUGCUACAAUGGCGUAUACAAAGAGAAGCGAACUCGCGAGAGCCAGCGGACCUCAUAAAGUACGUCGUAGUCCGGAUCGGAGUCUGCAACUCGACUCCGUGAAGUCGGAAUCGCUAGUAAUCGUAGAUCAGAAUGCUACGGUGAAUACGUUCCCGGGCCUUGUACACACCGCCCGUCACACCAUGGGAGUGGGUUGCAAAAGAAGUAGGUAGCUUAACCUUCGGGAGGGCGCUUACCACUUUGUGAUUCAUGACUGGGGUGAAGUCGUAACAAGGUAACCGUAGGGGAACCUGCGGUUGGAUCACCUCCUUA